CAGUAGCCGCGGGAAUACGUAGGUGGCAAGCGUUGUCCGGAAUUAUUGGGCGUAAAGGGCUCGCAGGCGGUUUCUUGAGUCUGAUGUGAAAGCCCCCGGCUCAACCGGGGAGGGUCAUUGGAAACUGGGAAACUUGAGUGCAGAAGAGGAGAGUGGAAUUCCACGUGUAGCGGUGAAAUGCGUAGAGAUGUGGAGGAACACCAGUGGCGAAGGCGACUCUCUGGUCUGUAACUGACGCUGAGGAGCGAAAGCGUGGGGAGCGAACAGGAUUAGAUACCCGCGUAGUCCCUGUCUCUUAUAC
rnacentral:rRNA from 1 species